rnacentral:rRNA from 1 species
GACGAACGCUGGCGGCGUGCUUAACACAUGCAAGUCGAACGGAAAGGCCCUGCUUUUGUGGGGUGCUCGAGUGGCGAACGGGUGAGUAACACGUGAGUAACCUGCCCUUGACUUUGGGAUAACUUCAGGAAACUGGGGCUAAUACCGGAUAGGAGCUCCUGCUGCAUGGUGGGGGUUGGAAAGUUUCGGCGGUUGGGGAUGGACGCGCGGCUUAUCAGCUUGUUGGUGGGGUAGCGGCUUACCAAGGCUUUGACGGGUAGCCGGCCUGAGAGGGUGACCGGCCACAUUGGGACUGAGAUACGGCCCAGACUCCUACGGGAGGCAGCAGUGGGGAAUAUUGCACAAUGGGCGGAAGCCUGAUGCAGCAACGCCGCGUGCGGGAUGACGGCCUUCGGGUUGUAAACCGCUUUCGCCUGUGACGAAGCGUGAGUGACGGUAAUGGGUAAAGAAGCACCGGCUAACUACGUG